GAUGAACGCUGGCGGCGUGCCUAAUACAUGCAAGUCGAGCGAACGGACGAGAAGCUUGCUUCUCUGAUGUUAGCGGCGGACGGGUGAGUAACACGUGGAUAACCUACCUAUAAGACUGGGAUAACUUCGGGAAACCGGAGCUAAUAGCGUAUAAUAUUUUGAACCGCAUGGUUGAAAAGUGAAAGACGGUCUUGCUGUCACUAAUAGAUGGAUCCGCGCUGCAUUGGCUAGUUGGUAAGGUAACGGCUUACAAAGGCAACGAUGCAUAGCCGACCUGGGAGGGGGGUCGGCCGCAUGGGAGCUGAGCCACGGUCCAGACUCCUCCGGUAGGCACCAGUAGCGAAUCUUCCGCAAUAGUCGAGAGCCUUACGGAGCAACGCCGCGUGAGUUAUGACGGCCUUCGGAUCGUAAAACUCUGUUUUUAGGUAUGAACCUAUGUGUAAGUUGCUGUGCACAUCUUGACGGUACCUAAUCAGAAAGCCACGGCUAACUACGUG
rnacentral:rRNA from 1 species